GUCUCUGUGGUGCAGUCGGUUAGCGCGUCGGGCUGUUAACCGAAAGGUUGGUGGUUUGAGCCCACCCAGGGAUG